rnacentral:rRNA from 1 species
CUCAUAGUGGGGGACAACGUGGGGAAACUCACGCUAAUACCGCAUACGCCCUACGGGGGAAAGCGGGGGAUCUUCGGACCUCGCGCUAUGAGAUGAGCCUGCGUUAGAUUAGCUGGUUGGUGGGGUAAAGGCCUACCAAGGCGACGAUCUAUAGCUGGUCUGAGAGGACGAUCAGCCACACUGGGACUGAGACACGGCCCAGACUCCUACGGGAGGCAGCAGUGGGGAAUAUUGGACAAUGGGCGCAAGCCUGAUCCAGCAAUACCGCGUGUGUGAAGAAGGCCUUAGGGUUGUAAAGCACUUUCAAUGGGGAGGAAAACCUGCCGGCCAAUACCCGGCAGCUUGACAUUACCUAUAGAAGAAGCACCGGCUAACUCCGUGCCAGCAGCCGCGGUAAUACGGAGGGUGCGAGCGUUAAUCGGAAUUACUGGGCGUAAAGCGUGCGUAGGCGGUUCGUUAAGUCAGAUGUGAAAGCCCCGGGCUUAACCUGGGAACGGCAUUUGAAACUGGCGGACUAGAGUUUGGUAGAGGGGAGUGGAAUUUCAGGUGUAGCGGUGAAAUGCGUAGAUAUCUGAAGGAACACCAGUGGCGAAGGCGACUCCCUGGACCCGAACUGACGCUGAGGUACGAAAGCGUGGGUAGCAAACAGGAUUAGAUACCCUGGUAGUCC